CCCUGGCGGGCGGCGGGCACCGCGGAGCGCUGUGGGUGCUCGGCCUGCUGGUCGCCGCAGCGGCCUUGGA
rnacentral:tRNA from 1 species